rnacentral:rRNA from 1 species
GAUGAACGCUGGCGGCGUGCUUAACACAUGCAAGUCGAACGGAUAGGGCCUGCUUGUUUCUGGUGCCAGAGUCGGGAACGGGUGAGUAACACAUGAAUAACCUUCCCAGUAGUUGAUAAUAACCGCAGAAAAGUGCGGAUAAUGCCUGAGACGAGCUCCUGCUACAGGGGGGGCGUCGGAAAGCAUCGGCUCUUGGGGAUGGACUGGCGAAUUAUCAGCUUGUGGGUGGGGUAGUGGCUUACCAAGGCGUUGACGGGUAGCCGGCCUGAGAGGGUGAGCGGCCACAUUGGGACCGAGAUGAGGCACAGGCUCAUACGGUAGGCAGCAGUGCGGAAUAUUGCACGAUGCGAGGCGGCCUGGUGCAGCAAGGCAGCGUGCGGGAAGGCGGCCUUAGGGUUGUGAACGGCUUUCGCAUGAGACGCAGCGUGCGUGGCGGUAACGGGUAAAGAAGCAACGGCUAACUUCGUG